rnacentral:piRNA from 1 species
UGCUACUGAGUAGUUCUGCUGUAGGAAAA